rnacentral:rRNA from 1 species
CUACGGGUGGCUGCAGUGGGGAAUAUUGCACAAUGGGCGCAAGCCUGAUGCAGCCAUGCCGCGUGUAUGAAGAAGGCCUUCGGGUUGUAAAGUACUUUCAGCGGGGAGGAAGGGAGUAAAGUUAAUACCUUUGCUCAUUGACGUUACCCGCAGAAGAAGCACCGGCUAACUCCGUGCCAGCAGCCGCGGUAAUACGGAGGGUGCAAGCGUUAAUCGGAAUUACUGGGCGUAAAGCGCACGCAGGCGGGUUGUUAAGUCCGAUGUGAAAUCCCCGGGCUCAACCUGGGAACUGCAUCUGAACUGGCAGGCUUGAGUCUCGUAGAGGGGGGUAGAAUUCCAGGUGUAGCGGUGAAAUGCGUAGAGAUCUGGAGGAAUACCGGUGGCGAAGGCGGCCCCCUGGACGAAGACUGACGCUCAGGUGCGAAAGCGUGGGGAGCAAACAGGAUUAGAUACCCCGGUAGUC